CUGCGGGUUUGGAUUCUCUCGAACCCCGAUUGGGGGAAAGGAAAACGAAACGAAUCACUCGUUAUCGCCUUGCAGUCUCUGUCGGCUGAGGAACGGAGCUCCGGUGGCUCACAGCGUCGACGAGGUUUUGCUUUUGUUGCUUUGCUUUGUUGCUGUCCUUGUGAUCCUCGAUAAGCGGCCUAUGCGUCGCUGGCCAGACUUCCCGAGCAGAUCCUUCACUCUCGCUUCUUCUCCGGGCGGUCGAGAGAACGGCGAUUAUUUACCCCUCUGGAAAAUCAGACGUCGGUCGCUUUUCUCCCUUCUUAAGCAGAAACGGCUCUUUGCUGAUUCCACCUUCCGCUUCCUCUUCCCAUUCCGAGCAGAGUCCAAUGGAGCGAAGCGGCGAUCCCUCGAGUCGAUAUCCUCUUCUCCCCUAUCCUCGAGUAGCAUCGCCUCCGCCCUUCGAGCCGAACACCUCUUGUCCGGCUUCUCUUCUGUCCUUCGUCCAGUGCCGAGGUUGCAGCUUCGUUUCUGUCAACCGAGAGUGAGAAAAAUAGAGCGCAGUGUGAGAGUACCUAUGCGCUCAAGCAGUAACCUUUCAUGUUUCAACACCCCUCACUGAGCAAUAGUUUGGAUUAUUGGAGACUUUUGAAUUGUAAGCUUUGAGAUCAUGGGAUUCCGAGAGAAUUUAGACUUCUAUCUCAAAAUGUCACGAAAGGAGCUUCAACAAUUGUGUAAACAACAUGAUCUUCCUGCAAAUACGAGUCAUGCUAUAUUGGCCAACUCUUUGGCUUCACACUUUCAGAAAAGAAAUGCUGUUUUGGCAGAUUCACUGGAGAAAUCAGUUAAUUUUAUGGAUGGAUCUUCUAAGAAGCUAUUUGCAUCUGAACCAAUCACUAAAAAAACAGUUCCUUGCCCUGAUGAAUUAACCACAGGUAACAGGCGACUAUUCUGUCAGCUUGGUAGUAAGAGUGAAAUUAACGGUCCCACAGACAGUAUUAUGAAUGAGAAGCCAGAAACUGUAACAAAAGUGUUAUGCCCAUUAUGGCCUGUCAAUAGUAAAGAGCAGAAGUGUAUUCAGGGUGCUGUUCCAUGUGGACAUAGUAGACCUCAUGAAUACUCAAUGGAAAGUGGACUUGUUUCUGGCAAUGAAAUUUCUACCAGAAGUCCUCCAUUUCAAUUUUUUGUGAUGUCAGAAGGUGGAAUAGAUUUAUUCGUUGACUUGAAUUCUAGCCCACUGGAAUUGAUCAAUAGCUUAAAAGAAAAUGUCUGUGUUCAUCAGAAUACACAAUAUCAUGAGUCAAUGGCUCCUCCUGAAUAUAUCAGUAAUUCACCAGAAGUUGAUGAACAUAUGAAAAUUACACCAUCAGUUGACACUGGGAUGAACCUUAAUGGCAUUGAAGUUGAGAAGAACACUGGUUGUACAAAUUCAUCAUUGAGUUCUGUUGUCAGCGAGAACAGCAAUUCUGAGGCUUAUCCACCAGAUACCACUGCAGCAACAUCUGGAUCUUUUUUUUUAGUAUCAAACACUGUCCCAGUUGGAUCAUUGGGAUUUUUGGAGGAAAAUCAGGUAGUUUCAUCUUCCUGUGCAGCAUACACGGUGCAAAACCACUUGGCAUCCCACAUGGCAUCAUGCCCCCCUGAAGGGCAAGAGACUGCUAUUGUUUCAUUUGCAAUGGUCAGGAGUAAUGCAUCACUACCUGUCAUGCCUCUUCAAUCAGUUUCUAACAUGGACAAUGGGGUCAAUAAUCCUGUUACAGUUGGCGUCGAAGUUGAAACUCUAUAUGAUACAGUAUCUGAUGUUGCUGACAAAGAUAACCUUACAACAAGGAAAGAAAUAUCAGAUAAUAUAGACACACUUGACUAUGUCCAUCAAAAAAAUCAUAGGGGAGCAAGUGAGUCCUUUACCGGUUUUAAAAAUGAGCAGCCAGACAACACAACUUUUCAUGGGAGAUUGUCAAAUUCUUGUCAACAUAGUGGACAGAUGAUACUAGAUAGUCCAAUGGCUGAUGCACAAUCGGAAGUGGGGACAGCAGAUCUUCCUUUCUGUCGGCAAUCAUGCAGUAAUUGUGAAACUUUGGUUCCUGAGGAACCGAUAUCAAUGUCUCAAGAUGAAUCGAAGAAGAUAGUGGCUGUUUCCAUGUCUGUAAGCUAAAUUGUGCCUUUUGAAGCAGGGUCAUAGCACACCAAUGGGGGAAAAGGAUGCUUCAGAAUGCUCUAGAAUCCUAUCAACCUCAGCCAACACUAAGAGAUCUAACAACUUAGAGAAUCCCAAGGAGCCCCAUGUUAAGAGGCACCAUGUUUGUAGUGAAAUCAUGAGUGAGGAGACAGUCACAAAAUUGAGAAACAGUAGAAGUUCAGCAAAGAAAAUGUUGUCUGGUGCUAUUGUUCUGCCUAGGCGUUCCAUGAGGCUUGUUUCUAAGUAACCAGCUCUCUGUAUCAAAAACAUUGUACCUGUACUUUGCCAGAUAACACGCCAUUCAUCCUUGCUCUGAUGGACUUGCUUUCUAUUUAAGAACCGAAGAAAGCAACACUGAAUGAUUUAUACAGCACUUGCCCCUAUCAUCAAAAUGAUUUUAGGCCAGGAUGUUGUGUUGUAUAGUUUAGAAAUAAAACUCAAGUGCCAACAAGCUGCAACAUUGUAAUCUUAAGUUCGUUGAGUCGUGGCAUCUGAAAUUGGAUAUCCAUUUUAGCCUUUGAAGACUCUGUACCUUCGAAUGGCAAAAGAAACAUCUUCUGAAAUCAACGUCGCAUUCUUUGAAAUCUCAGAUUCUUCUGAUGGCGAAAGUCCCUGUAUCAUUGUGCUCAACAUUCAUACAUAUGGAUCAUAUACUUCAUCGACAAUGGGCAGCCUUGUUGCUUUUAUGUUCAUUGCUUGUAGUGUUGUGCGCACUCACUCUCUUUUUAAAUUACAGCCGUCAGUUGUUUCAUUC